AAAUAAAAUCAAUUUAAAAGAAGAUUUCAAGAAGAAAAGCAAAAUAAACAACAAAAUGCAAGAUCUCAAAAUGAAUGAAGAUGCUAAGGAAGUGGCGAAUAAUUUCAAUUACGAAAAGGGCAAUAUUGGGUGCUGCUGAAUAUAUUAGAACAAAGAAAAAAUAAAAUGGACAACAAAACUAUAUGGAAGUUUCUUAUAAUUGAAGAUGAUCAGGACCUUUUAGCAAUACGCUCAAAAUUAUAUAUGGUGUCGUUAGUAAUGGGAUAUAACAUUAUUUAUGUUUGGAUUUAUAUGAUAAGGAUAAUCAUACGAAUAUUAUUGGCAUCGGCACCAGGAUCUUUUUUUUAAACACAUUCCUUUUAAAUAAUUGGACAACAUUUGUAA